GCAUGAGGUAGUGGGGCUUUGUGAGCUCAAGCUCUGGAAAAUGUUCUCGAAUGAUGCCCCAUGCCAGAGCAAACGUGGCCGUAAACUAUGGUCUGUCUGCUGUGCCUGUGUGCUGCUGGCACUGAUGGAGGUUGCACAGUG
ensembl:snoRNA